UCGCUUUCGGGCUAGUUCCUGCCUGCCUUCGGCCCAGACCCGGGAGGUCGACUUGAAAGCCCGGGAGACGGGGCUUUCGGGGCCCAGUAGUCAGUCCGUCAAGCUCUUCUGGGACACGGAGCAGCAGGACCUUUGGAGCUAAGCCUGCCGCCGGGACCAUCAGCCUUCCUUGAGAUCAGACAAAUAGAAAAUCAAGGCUGUGACUCUGCACCUACCACCAGCCAGCCAGCCAGCGUCCUUAGUCCUAAGAACCGGGAGAUGAAGACCCACAAGGCAGAGGGAGAGAGGCAGGCAGGAAGCUGGUGGAGGAGCCAGCAGACUCCCAAAUGACGACCUUCCUGCCGCUGCCGCCUGCAGCUCAGGCCUGUAGCCCACCUUCCUUCCUCAGGAGCUACAUCCUCAGAGAUGGCCAGGGACCUCCUAACCGCAGACAGUGAUUGGUCCCAGUCCUCUGUGGCUCUGUCCACCUUCUCUCUCCACUCUGCUGCCAAGUGGUCAAACCACGCGGGGCCGCGGGAGGCCCUCCCAGCCACGGGUAACUGAGAAGCGUGGGCCUCCCGCGGGCCUUGCUACAUAGCUCUACCCACUGAAACAUCUUGACAAGCACCUCAGAGUAGUCAGACGAUUGAGGAGGAAUAUUUUCCUUUAUAGAAUUCAGGGUGA
rnacentral:lncRNA from 1 species